rnacentral:rRNA from 1 species
UGGGGGAUAUUGCACAAUGGGCGAAAGCCUGAUGCAGCGACGCCGCGUGGGGGAUGAAGGCCUUCGGGUUGUAAACUUCUUUUGCUCUGAACAAGGCAUGCCUUUGGGGUGUGUUGAGUGUAGGGGUUGAUUAGCGCCGGCUAACUACGUGCCAGCAGCCGCGGUAAUACGUAGGGCGCGAGCGUUGUCCGGAAUUAUUGGGCGUAAAGGGCUUGUAGGUGGCUGGUUGCGUCUGUCGUGAAAGCUCAUGGCUUAACUGUGGGUUUGCGGUGGGUACGGGCUGGCUUGAGUGCAGUAGGGGAGGCUGGAAUUCCUGGUGUGGCGGUGGAAUGCGCAGAUAUCAGGAGGAAUACCGGGGGCGAAGGCGGGUCUCUGGGCUGUUACUGACGCUGAGGAGCGAAAGCGUGGGGGGCGAACAGG